CAUUUCAGACUCAAAAUUCGCUUAUUAGCAACCCUUGCUUUGAUUAACAAUUUAUAACAGCUAUUACAUUUGUUAAUUCCAUUUAAUAUUUUCGUAACCAGAAAUCAAAGCAAGGGUUGCUAAUAAACGAAGUUUGGAAAAAAUGAGAAUAUUUGUCUGGCCUUUUUCACGUAUACGAGUAGCCUCCCUUGAAGCUAGGUGCUCGUUGCCAGGCAAUAUUAUAGGUGGCGCCACUGACAACAUGUGGAUGUGAAAACGAAAGUAGAUUAUUUAUCGUGGAAUAAUUACAAAUGUUUACCCUUCUACGUGGAAUUUAUAUGGUAAUGGUAUGAAUUGAGAUGAUUUAUUUAGUUACCUUCAACUGGUCAGUGGUCAACAAGAGAGUAUUAUUGUGUGUCUUGAAACAUUGAAUGCCCCAAAACAACAAGUAUGAUAAGAAGG
rnacentral:lncRNA from 1 species